GAUGAAGAACGUAGCGAAAUGCGAUAAGUAAUGUGAAUUGCAGAAUUCAGUGAAUCAUCGAAUCUUUGAACGCACAUUGCGCCCGCCAGUAUUCUGGCGGGCAUGCCUGUCUAAGCGUCAUUUCAACCCUCAUGCCCCUAGGGCGUGGUGUUGGGGAUCGGCCAAAGCCCGCGAGGGACGGCCGGCCCCUAAAUCUAGUGGCGGACCCGUCGUGGCCUCCUCUGCGAAGUAGUGAUAUUCCGCAUCGGAGAGCGACGAGCCCCUGCCGUUAAACCCCCAACUUUCCAAGGUUGACCUCAGAUCAGGUAGGAAUACCCGCUGAACUUAAGCAUAUCAAUAAGCGGAGGA
rnacentral:misc_RNA from 1 species